CGGCACCGCCACUACCCUCAAGACUGAAGUCAGACCUCCAACUCUUGUCUGGGGAGGCAGGGACGCGGGGCCGGGGGCGGUUGAGCAGAGCAAGCGCAUGCUUCCAGGAGCAGCGUCCGCGGGGCGGCCUGAUGACUGCGUCUGUGGAACGCUGGCCUAGUUGGGCUGUGAUGGGGGAGCCUGUGCAGGGCCUGGACACGUGGUGGAGAGCUCCCCUCCAGCGCGCGCAAGCUGCCAGGUUCUGUCCACACGGGGAGACCCCUUUCUGCUGCACGUAGGAAGAGCCGGGAGUGCGUCUCCUGCAGCAGGAACCCAGCUGGGAGCGUCGGUUCUGGACACAAAGGCGUUUCCUGGGCACGACGCCCACGCGGCCUUGGAGCGCGUGGGGUCACCCACCUUCGCACCCCCUCCUUUCCAUCUGCGGGCCCAGUUUUGAGGCUUCGUGUGGUGGUGUGGGGUCUUUGACCGCCAGCAGCGGCACCCACACUAUAUGCUUCGGGAGAGACAGGGAUUGGAUUCCAUUCAGCCUCCUGUUUCCGCUUCCUUCUCCAAAUCAGACUUGUCAACAGCGCCUACAUUUUUAGAGGUGACAUUUAAAAUUCAAACUAGGUAAUGCAAAUGGCGACGCAUCUUAUAUUUCAAAGUUCACACGUGUGCAAGUGCCUCACGGAAGAAUCCACUCUGCAAGCAUUCCACCAGCAAAACCCGUACGACAGUCCAGUAUCUGGUCAGAUGGUACCCGAUGGGUAAGGCCCGUGGAGGCUGUGGGGCCAGCCGUGUGCUGGGACCAGUGACCGCAGAUGGAGUGUGGGCCUCUGGGCCGAGGGGCAUCCAGAGAACCCAGGGAGGAAGGGAGGUGAAGCAACCCUGGCCUUCUCGCGGACGAGGCAGCCCACCAACUGCUGAGAGCCGCGGGCCUACCCCAGCUCCAGGGCCAGGGCUAAUGAUCCCGCUCACGUCUUCACCCACAGGACGGCCAGUCGAGACCACAGUGGUAUGUGUAGAGGCCACGGUGGGGUGUAUAAAGGCCACAGCAGAGUGUGUAGAGGCCACGGCGGGGUGUGUAGAGGCCACAGCAGGGUAUGUACAGGCCUUGGUGGGGUGUGUUGAGGCCACAGUGGGGUGUGUACAGGCCUCGGCAGGGUGUGUUGAGGCCACAGUGGGGUGUGUCGAGGCCACGGCGGGGUGUGUAGAAGCCUCAGUGGGGUGUGUAGAGGCCACGGCAGGUGUGUGUUGAGGUCACGGGGAUGUGUCGAGGCCACGGCGGGGUGUGUUGAGGCCACGGCGGGGUGUGUACAGGCCUUGGCGGCUGUUUCGAGGCCACGCGGGGUGUGUCUUGUCCUGAGCACCUGGUCUCCGCUGCCCCGUGGCACCCGCAGGCUCUGAGCAGUGAUCCCGGGGCAGCUGUGCCUGCAGUCUGGCUUGCAUUUCCCUUUCAUUUAUGUCUUAUUGUUAUUUUCUUGGAUGUGUCCUCUCUGUUACGUUCUGCGAUCACACACAUCAGGAUGUGGAGAAAGACAAAAACACAGGAGGAAGCCGUCAGGUCAGGCGUCGCCUGUCUGAUCACAUGAGGCAAAGUGGCCUCUCCAGGCUGUGGGUCGGAUUGUCUCUGGGCGUCCAUCCUGUGCGCUCAGACGUCCAGGCUGGGCCCAUGGGCAGCUGGAGGCAGACAGGACAGGCCCUUCCGCCCGGGGUCGUCCCGACCCAGACACUCCCGUGGGCCCUGGGGCCCCUCGUCUGCCGACCUGUCCCUCCUCCACGAGGAGUCCGGGAGGGCAGGCGCAUAAGGGCAGGAGUCUGCCCGUUCGGGGCACAUGCCAUCCUGAUGGGGGGAUGCUGAGGGGUGUGCGGCGUCAGCUUUUGAGGGUAUGCAGGUUAGGUGCACGACGAGGAACUCUGAAGAAAAUACACUGAGAACUACCACGGGGUUCCUUCUGGACCAAGGGUCACGUGCGUGAAACGGUCCCCACCAAGAGGAAGCAGCGGGGGGACACGCUCUGAGAGACGCAGGCAGGUGCCUAGGCUGUCGCAAGGUGAAAUACUGGCCCGAAGGCGACGUGGCAGGUGGGAGGGACCCGCUGGCGCUCCGGGGAGCUGCAGGCGUGGUGGGCGGGUCAGCUGAGCCAGGGCCCGAACCCCUCAGGUCUGGCCGGGUCCCCCCGGCCCGGGUGGAGCCCCUGGAUGCCCUGCGGGCCCCCUACCUCCCGUUGCCCCUCGGCUCCGGCUUCUUGGCCCCUGCCCUGCUGGUCUUUCUGGGGU
rnacentral:lncRNA from 1 species